rnacentral:rRNA from 1 species
UAGGGAAUAUUGGGCAAUGGACGCAAGUCUGACCCAGCCAUGCCGCGUGCAGGAUGAAGGCCUUCUGGGUUGUAAACUGCUUUUACCAGGGAAGAAAAAACUCAUGCGUGAGGAACUGACGGUACCUGGUGAAUAAGCACCGGCUAACUCCGUGCCAGCAGCCGCGGUAAUACGGAGGGUGCAAGCGUUGUCCGGAUUUAUUGGGUUUAAAGGGUGCGUAGGCGGCCUGUUAAGUCCGUGGUGAAAGCCAACAGCUCAACUGUUGAACUGCCAUGGAUACUGACAGGCUUGAGUACAGACGAGGUUGGCGGAAUUGAUGCUGUAGCGGUGAAAUGCAUAGAUAGCAUCAAGAACACCGAUUGCGUAGGCAGCUAACUAGGCUGUAACUGACGCUGAGGCACGAAAGCGUGGGGAGCGAACAGG